rnacentral:rRNA from 1 species
GUCUACGGCCAUACCACCCUGAACGCGCCCGAUCUCGUCUGAUCUCGGAAGCUAAGCAGGGUCGGGCCUGGUUAGUACUUGGAUGGGAGAAGAAGAUGGUAAGAGAAGUUGAAGAAU